GGUAGCAUAAUAAUUAGUCNUUUAAUUGAAGGCUUGCAUGAAUGAGUAAAUGAGAAAUUUUUUUUAUUAUUAAAAUUUUUUGAAAUUAAUUUUUAAGUUAAAAAGCUUAUUUAUUUUUUUGGGACGAUAAGACCCNAUNGAACUUUAAUUUAAUUUUGUUUAUUUUUUUUUGGUAAAUUAACUUAUUUAAAUUUUAUUAAUUUUUUAUUGGGGUGGUAAAUAAAUAAAACUUUAUUUUUUUAAUUCAAUUAAUUUUUGUAUUUUAUGAUCCAGUAAAUUUGAUUUUAAGAUUAAGUUACCUUAGGGAUANCAGCGUAAUUCUUAUGGGGAGUUCAUAUUUAUAUAAGAGUUUGCGACCUCGAUGUUGAAUUAANAUUAUUUAAUGGGGCAG
rnacentral:rRNA from 1 species